CACCCAGGAUCCGAACCAGUGAAAUCCUGGGCUGCCGAAGCAGAGUGCACAAAUUCAACAACUCAGCCACAGGGCCGGCCCUCAACCUUGUUUUUUUCACAAUAGUUUGGCUCAGAUUAGUUUCCAAACAAUGUGAACAUAUUGCAUUUGAUUGCUUUGUCUCUCAAAUCUUUUUUAACCUAUAGGCUUCCCCUCCAUCUAUUUUUCCUUGUAAUUUAUUUAUUGAAGAAACCUGGUUAUUUGUCCUGAAGAAUUUUCCACAUUCAAGAUGUUGACGACUGCAUCCUUGAGUUUAACCCGUUCUUCUCUCCCCCUAUAGUUCUUGUAAUUAGACAGAGCCAAAGCCCUGAUUGGAUUCAAGUUUGCUUUCUUUAAAAGCAUUCUUCAUAGGUGGUGCUAUUUACUUCCUAGUUGUCUCAUCAGGAGAACAAGAAAAUCCUAGUUCAUAACAUUAACUACUUAUUUGCAUUAUUAUCUCUUUUUGAGAUGUUAAGAUGGGUCAGUUGGUUGAGGGUCCAUACGUUACAAAGUUCUCCAUCAGCUUUUCACCGACCGGUUUUAGCAACUGUUGGUGAUGUUGCCUACUGGUGAAAUAUAAAUUAUUAGGGGCUACAAAAUUGUGACAUUCUAAUUCUACUGUCUCUUCUGCACUUAACUGGAAUUCUCUUAUAAAGAAGAACCUUCCCUCAUCAACUCUUUGGUAUCCUGAAGCACAGCUGGUAUAGAAAAGGAUCAACCAGAGAAAGCCAAAUAUGCUUCCAACCAAUCACGGAAGAUGCCCCCCUUCUGGUCAGGCCCCCUCCGGCAUCCCAGGCAAAGAACCUCCAAUCACAGCACACCUGGAGCCUCCCUUCCUUUUUUCACCGUAAAGUUUUCCCACUCCCUCCCUGCUUUGAGUCCCUCCCUGCCAAACGCAAGCGAUGGUGGCCGACUCCCUUGCAAGCUCUGAAUGAACAGCCUCUGCUUGUUCUCAUUUGGAUGAUCUUGGUUUAUUUCCAUAUCUCCAGCAGGAAGUCUGAAUACAAACUGAAAUACUCAUGAAACCAACACCCAAACCAGGAGGUAGAGCCACACCCCAGAACACCCAUUCCUGGCUCUAUCCCUCCCAAAGUAACCAUGCUGACUCCCAACACCAUAGAUCAAUUUUGCUUAUUUCUCUAUUUUUCU
rnacentral:lncRNA from 1 species